GCAAUAAUUAUGAUUGAUGUUAUUCAAUUGUAAAUGGGACUGGGAGGCCUGGCAGUUAUGAAUGAGCAAGAGGAGGUCUCCAUGAGACAAUUAGUCUAUUAAAAGUCAGUCCAUCCCAUGAACAAGCUUGAGAAUGCCUAUAAGGCCUAGAAUUUAAAAUGCCUACAUUGCUUGCCUCUGAGCUCACAAUACAGCUGGCACACAAAUAUUCAAAAGGGUAUUGGCCAGGAAGCUUUUUGUAAAAGUCUCUCUCUCUAGUAGCCAAUGCUGCUUUUAAACACAAAAUAGUUACCCAGGCCUAAAAAACUGUCUAUAUAUGUAUUUACAGAGAAAAUAGUAAGUGUAUUAUUGGAUGUAAGUGAUUUACUCCCUCUCUCUUUUCUGUUCUGCUUUUGUCUUGCCUCUUCUUUCUUUCAUUUCACAUUGCUCUUGGCUCUUUGCCCACUUCCUUCUCAUCAUCCCACUAGCGUUGUUGUAUCUGUAAAGUUUUUCAAAAACAUGUACACACUUUGGUCCCUCAACUUGAUCCCCUUGCCAGUUGCUCUUGGAACUGCAUUUCCACAUGUUUUGUAGAAACAGGACACAUCUGCCACACAACAAAGCCUGGAGGAGGGCAUCCAGUCUUUUAGUUCCCAGAUCACUUUAUCCAAAUAUGGUGUAAUGAAAUUGGGACUAAAAAUCAAUUGUAGUGUAAUUGCCCAGGGAACACACCCACCAACGUGUGCAUGCCCAGUGAAAUAAGAUUGCUGCUGCUUUAGGGGAAUGUUAGAACAAUUUACUAGUCACAAAUAAUGACAGAUUAACUUGUAUCCACACCCGUCCUUCACCUUUUUAUCACAGAUUGCCAUGCUUCUCAGCUGAUCCGUUACACCUGUGCAAAUGUGGAGGACUCUGGAAUUCACACCAAAAAGAUGUUUCUCAACUCCAAGUGGACAAAAUACUCUCCCCUGCCCCCAGAAACAGUGUUCUGGAUGCUGAAACUACUGAGGAUAAGACAGAAGGAUACAGUGGAAUCCCUCCUCUCUGCAGAUUCUUCCCACAGUGACUUCUAACACAUGAAUGUAUUGCAUAACACAUCAAGCAUUAUGCAAUACAUUCACUCUUAUGAAAUACCAUGUGAGUUAAUUAAGCCCCAAUGGAGAAGAAAUGCUGGGGGGGAGGGGGGGGGAGAGAACCCAAUGAAUGGAGACAAUAUGAUCUCAAGGACCAGAGGGGACUAUUUUGAUUGUAUGUAUUUCUCAGAACAUUUCAUGACUUGCAUCUAGAUCAGUGAUACUCAGACUUCAGCUCUUGAGCCACAAGUGGCUUUUUGAUGUGUCUUUGCAGUGUAGGAUAUAAAAACACUGGGUGAUUUAAUUAGCCAGUCUAAGUUAUUAACCAAUCAGUAUGCUUUUACUAGGUCAUUAACCAAUUAAGUUGUCAACUUGCUCCAAUAUACAUUAUAUAAAAAAUGUCUAAAUAUUUCCCCUCUCAUACUGUUUAAAUAUGAAUACUAAAUGAAUCAAUGCAUUCACACAACUGUAGCUCUUUUGGGUAAUGUUGAUCACUAAUUUGGCUGCUGAACUCCCAAGGAGUGACUAUCACUGAUCUAGAUAUUGAAGUUCUGCAACAUGCAAACUGUAUUCCCUUAACUGGAGGGAAAGUCUUUGCUGUGGUAACUGACAGGUUAACAUGCACUACAGUGACAGGUAGAAGGUCUAGCGCAAGCUGAUUAUUACUUCUCACAUUAUUAUGGGUAUCGUACAAUCAUUCAGUAAAAGAAUGUCCAAGAGGAUUUCACCAUCUUUAGCAAAAUCCUCAUGCCAACUGCCUGUGAUGGGAGUUCCCUAGUCAGGUGACAGUAUGGACUUUAUCUGCAAAUUCAGAGACUGGAGGCAUGUUUGAGAGCACAGAAUUAACCAACCCAGAAAAUGAGGAGCACCAGUUCACUAGAGUGAAAGAGUACUUCCAGGGGAUAAAUGCAUACCUGAAAAAAAAAAAAACCACACAAUACAGCUGGUGUGUUUGGGAGAUCAGUCACAUGGAAAUGCCUAGAUGUUUUCUACUUAUUGACAGACUCCAUAGAAGGCUUGUUCAGUACAAAAAAAAAAAAAAAAAAAAAAAAAAAAAAAC